rnacentral:lncRNA from 1 species
GCUUAAGGAUGGCAACUGUGCUGUACUGACUUAUUGUAUUGGUGCUAGUGGACUUACAGAGCUGUAAAGAGUACUAUCUUGACUGGUAAAAAGAAAGCGUCUGAUCAGAUCUAUCAAGAGAUAGUGGUUCGCCCUCACUUCGAUCGCCUAAGCAAGGACUAGGCUGUCGAGUGAGGCCCUCGAGCCGAAUUUUUUUACCGAGUUCCCUCUCGGCUGACACGCUGCUCGGGAUCAGCGCGAACGGUGGUGAAGCUGCGAUUUCACUACGAUCUUGUACAGUCUGAACUCGUAACCCGCCAUCUUUGGGGCAUGAGUCGUCAGAUCUUGCCCAGGCAAAGGAGCGAUCGACACUCAGUAUUAAGUCAAGAUAUACGUUGCUCAUGACAAUUAGGACAAGCUUCUUUGAAGCCUUAAUACCAUUCAGAGGGUGAGGAUGUUGGAUUGUAUAUAUGUGCACAAAAUCUAAUGAAUGAGGCAUCAUUCUAACUUUUGUCUUUCCCAUAGGUACGAUGAAUUUGUGGAAUCUACGCUACACCACCUCAGCUCUUGGGUUUUCUUCCUGCCCUGAAUGGUGGUCUGAUCUUGGACAUGCUGGAACGCUAUAAAUGCUUCUGCUUUUAAGGAAUCAAUAUGAGCCCAAUUCAGGUGUGGAAGCUUGUUAGAUCCAUGCAUAAUGAAUUCAAGGCCCAAGGAUUAAUCAAGAUCAACCUCUAGAGACCUUUUAAGGAAAAUCAGACAUAGCCAGCCAACACCCAAAUUGCCUUGUGGCUUGGUUUUGAAUUAAUUAAGUGAAAUGAUUGACAAUUGGCGGUUGUUGAAAUCAGUUAAUUGCUCUAAACAGUUGUUGCGGUGUUCUUUUGGAGGUUCAUGUUAUCUUACUUGACAUUCGCUUUUUAAUUUCAUCAUGUACUGUAAGAAGGAAAUAGCUUAGAGAACCACAAAAAAAAGGAAUGUCUGACUAAUUAGCUCUCUACCUUGUUGAAAAAAAGUAC